CUCGGAGGUGCGGAGUGGGAACUCGGAGGGGACCCUGGGAAGCCCCGGUGCUUUCCCCGGCGACCGCUUAGCCGCUCCUGAACUCGGCUUCCAGUGGGGCCACCACUGAAACCGGCGACCGUUUCCGCCUCGCUGCCUGCCGCUCGGAGUGUACUAUUUCUUGAACCUCCUGUCCGCGGGCCGCAACAUCUAGAUCGUGGAAGAGAGGGCAGUUGUUUUAGGAUUCUACCUAGGGUUGGCCGAGAAAGGAGAAGAAAUACGGUGUCUGCGCUAGCGCGUGCGCCCCGGGGAGUUGGAGUCAGUUGGCAGUGCCCAGACUGCGGGCUGCGCUUGGUCGGGCACCCCAGGCAAAAAAGAAAAAAAAAAAAGAGAAAGAAAGAGGAGGAGACAGUGAUUGCAGCCUCUCCCGGCGCAGGUGGCAGAGCCUUGCGGCUUUGGAGAGAGGUGGAGCCUUGGUGAGGUUGGGAGGACUGCCUAACUGCGAUCUUUUUCUCCAUUCUUCCUCCUGGGAACUUCUCCGCCCUGAAAGGGUAGCGUGAGCUUCAUGCCUUCGGCCGGCCGUGUUAUACUCGUUAGACCCAAUUCACCAUGAAUCCUUUGAAAGACUAGUGGAGAGUGAGAAGGGGGUUUCAAAGUCACUGGAGUAAAGGAAUUCUCCAAGCACCACCUCAUGAUUAAUUCUUGGAAAAGCCUGUUUGCGCGGCCCUUAGAAUCAUUUUGACUUCUUGUCUAAUGGUGAAGUUUUUCUCUGUAAUCCUUCUACUCUGUUUUCUAAAACCAGAACUAAAAACCUAAAAAAUUGUAAAACUUCAUGGUGUAAUUAAAACCCCUUCACCAUUUUUUUUAAGUAAGAUUGUGUGGCCUUAUUGCACAAUUUAAAUUCCUGGAAAAACCUCUUCCCAUCUGCAGUGUACAAGCAUUCUAACAUAUUAUGUCUCCUCACAGGUAACCUCUAGGAUUGUGUCAGCACAGAAAACAAA
rnacentral:lncRNA from 10 species